UCCCUGGUGUCUUAGUGCUAAAGAAUCUGCCUGCCAAUGCAGGAAACAUGGGUUAGAUCCCUGAUCCGGGAA
rnacentral:tRNA from 1 species